rnacentral:piRNA from 1 species
UACCCUGAGUUAUUGCCUUCUCUGGAGG